rnacentral:rRNA from 3 species
UGGGGAAUAUUGCACAAUGGUGGGAACUCUGAUGCAGCGACGCCGCGUGAACGAAGAAGGCUUUCGAGUCGUAAAGUUCUUUUAUAUGGGAAGAUAAUGACGGUACCAUAAGAAAAAGCCCCGGCUAACUACGUGCCAGCAGCCGCGGUAAUACGUAGGGGGCUAGCGUUGUCCGGAAUCACUGGGCGUAAAGGGUUCGCAGGCGGAAAUGCAAGUCAGGUGUAAAAGGCAGUAGCUUAACUACUGUAAGCAUUUGAAACUGCAUAUCUUGAGAAGAGUAGAGGUAAGUGGAAUUUUUAGUGUAGCGGUGAAAUGCGUAGAUAUUAAAAAGAAUACCGGUGGCGAAGGCGACUUACUGGGCUCAUUCUGACGCUGAGGAACGAAAGCGUGGGUAGCAAACAGG